rnacentral:rRNA from 1 species
AUUGAACGCUGGCGGCAGGCCUAACACAUGCAAGUCGAACGCAGUGGGGACGGGUGAGUAACACGUGGGUAACCUCCCAUCAGAGGGGAUAACACUUGGAAACAGGUGCUAAACCGAUACUGAUGGAUGAACCCGCGGUGCAUUAGCUAGGUGGUGAUGUAACGGCGCACCAAGGCCACGAUGCAUAGCCAACCUGAGGUGGUGAUCGGCCACACUGGGACUGAGACACGACCCAGUAUCCUACGGGAGGCAGCAGUAGGGAAUCUUCGGCAAUGGACGAAAGUCUGACCGAGCAACGCCGCGUGAGUGAAGAAGGUUUUCGGAUCGUAAAACUCUGUUGUUAGAGAAGCGGUAUCUAACCAGAAAGCCACGGCUAACUACGUGCCAGCAGCCGCGGUAAUAC